rnacentral:rRNA from 1 species
UACAGAGGUGCCAAGCGUUGUUCGGAAUCACUGGGCUUAAAGCGCGUGUAGGCGGGAUGGAGGGUGUUUGGUGAAAGCCCACGGCUCAACCGUGGAAUGGCCGGGCAAACCAUCAUCCUUGAGGCAGGUAGAGGUGAGCGGAACGUUAGGUGGAGCGGUGAAAUGCGUAGAGAUCUAACGGAACGCCGGUGGCGAAAGCGGCUCACUGGGCCUGUCCUGACGCUGAGACGCGAAAGCGUAGGGAGCAAACGGG